UACGAAGGGGGCUAGCGUUGUUCGGAAUUACUGGGCGUAAAGCGCACGUAGGCGGCGCGACAAGUCAGAUGUGAAAUGCCUGGGCUUAACCUAGGAACUGCAUUUAAGACUGUCGUGCUAGAGACCGGGAGAGGGUGGCGGAAUUCCCAGUGUAGAGGUGAAAUUCGUAGAUAUUGGGAAGAACACCGGUUGCGAAGGCGGCCACCUGGACCGGCACUGACGCUGAGGUGCGAAAGCGUGGGGAGCAAACAGG
rnacentral:rRNA from 1 species